rnacentral:sRNA from 1 species
GAUGCCAGGUUCAAAAGCCUGAAACCACGAUGUGCUUGCACAAGAGUGGUUUUAUGGCUUAAUGACCCGCCCCGAUAUGAGCAUGAAAGUGGAGCGUAAGCUUUACGAUAUGCGAAUAUUGGGGUGCUAUGUGCCAGUGGCACAUGUUUAGCACCGACCGAAGCGGAGCGUAGAAAGAAUUGUGGGAGUACGAAGUACGGAACAAUUCGUAUG